rnacentral:rRNA from 1 species
AAACCAGGUGAUCUACCCAUGGUCAGGUUGAAGUUCAGGUAACACUGAAUGGAGGACCGAACCGACUUACGUUGAAAAGUGAGCGGAUGAACUGUGGGUAGCGGAGAAAUUCCAAUCGAACUUGGAGAUAGCUGGUUCUCUCCGAAAUAGCUUUAGGGCUAGCCUCAAGUGAUGAUUAUUGGAGGUAGAGCACUGUUUGGACGAGGGGCCCCUCUCGGGUUACCGAAUUCAGACAAACUCCGAAUGCCAAUUAAUUUAACUUGGGAGUCAGAACAUGGGUGAUAAGGUCCGUGUUCGAAAGGGAAACAGCCCAGACCACCAGCUAAGGUCCCAAAAUAUAUGUUAAGUGGAAAAGGAUGUGGCGUUGCCCAGACAACUAGGAUGUUGGCUUAGAAGCAGCCAUCAUUUAAAGAGUGCGUAAUAGCUCACUAGUCGAGUGACACUGCGCCGAAAAUGUACCGGGGCUAAACAUAUUACCGAAGCUGUGGAUUGUCCUUUGGACAAUGGUAGGAGAGCGUUCUAAGGGCGUUGAAGCAUGAUCGCAAGGACAUGUGGAGCGCUUAGAAGUGAGAAUGCCGGUGUGAGUAGCGAAAGACGGGUGAGAAUCCCGUCCACCGAUUGACUAAGGUUUCCAGAGGAAGGCUCGUCCGCUCUGGGUUAGUCGGGUCCUAAGCUGAGGCCGACAGGCGUAGGCGAUGGAUAACAGGUUGAUAUUCCUGUACCACCUAUAAUCGUUUUAAUCGAUGGGGGGACGCAGUAGGAUAGGCGAAGCGUACGAUUGGAUUGUACGUCUAAGCAGUGAGAUUGAGUGUUAGGCAAAUCCGGCACUCUUAAGAUUGAGCUGUGAUGGGGAGAGGAAAUUGUUUCCUCGAGUCGUUGAUUUCACACUGCCGAGAAAAGCCUCUAGAUAGAGAUUAGGUGCCCGUACCGCAAACCGACACAGGUAGUCAAGAUGAGAAUUCUAAGGUGAGCGAGCGAACUCUCGUUAAGGAACUCGGCAAAAUGACCCCGUAACUUCGGGAGAAGGGGUGCUCUUUAGGGUGCAAGCCCAGAAGAGCCGCAGUGAAUAGGCCCAAGCGACUGUUUAUCAAAAACACAGGUCUCUGCUAAACCGUAAGGUGAUGUAUAGGGGCUGACGCCUGCCCGGUGCUGGAAGGUUAAGAGGAGUGGUUAGCUUCUGCGAAGCUACGAAUCGAAGCCCCAGUAAACGGCGGCCGUAACUAUAACGGUCCUAAGGUAGCGAAAUUCCUUGUCGGGUAAGUUCCGACCCGCACGAAAGGCGUAACGAUUUGGGCACUGUCUCAACGAGAGACUCGGUGAAAUCAUAGUACCUGUGAAGAUGCAGGUUACCCGCGACAGGACGGAAAGACCCCGUGGAGCUUUACUGUAGCCUGAUAUUGAAAUUCGGCACAGCUUGUACAGGAUAGGUAGGAGCCUUUGAAACGUGAGCGCUAGCUUACGUGGAGGCGUUGGUGGGAUACUACCCUAGCUGUGUUGGCUUUCUAACCCGCACCACUUAUCGUGGUGGGAGACAGUGUCAGGCGGGCAGUUUGACUGGGGCGGUCGCCUCCUAAAAGGUAACGGAGGCGCUCAAAGGUUCCCUCAGAAUGGUUGGAAAUCAUUCAUAGAGUGUAAAGGCAUAAGGGAGCUUGACUGCGAGACCUACAAGUCGAGCAGGGUCGAAAGACGGACUUAGUGAUCCGGUGGUUCCGCAUGGAAGGGCCAUCGCUCAACGGAUAAAAGCUACCCCGGGGAUAACAGGCUUAUCUCCCCCAAGAGUUCACAUCGACGGGGAGGUUUGGCACCUCGAUGUCGGCUCAUCGCAUCCUGGGGCUGUAGUCGGUCCCAAGGGUUGGGCUGUUCGCCCAUUAAAGCGGUACGCGAGCUGGGUUCAGAACGUCGUGAGACAGUUCGGUCCCUAUCCGUCGUGGGCGUAGGAAAUUUGAGAGGAGCUGUCCUUAGUACGAGAGGACCGGGAUGGACAUACCUCUGGUGUACCAGUUGUCGUGCCAACGGCAUAGCUGGGUAGCUAUGUAUGGACGGGAUAAGUGCUGAAAGCAUCUAAGCAUGAAGCCCCCCUCAAGAUGAGAUUUCCCAACUUCGGUUAUAAGAUCCCUCAGAGAUGAUGAGGUUAAUAGGUUCGAGGUGGAAGCGUGGUGACACGUGGAGCUGACGAAUACUAAUCGAUCGAAGACUUAAUCAAUUU